UUUGUGAGGAAGGUUGGACAAGAUUCCAUACAGGAGCGAGCAUUUGGCCCGGAAUCUGGCAGUGGAGUAGGAGUUCCCCAGGUGGAGACGAGCAUCAACAAGCAUUGCAGAAGAAAGAGGGGGGGAGUGUUCCAGAAGAGGUGAUGGGAAGAUUGGGGACCUCACAUCAUGGAUCACAGGGCAUGACUAAAGUACCUACAGGUAGGACGGCCCUGAGCUGACAAUGGCACCUAGAAGGAUAUUGUGAAACACUGGACUGACAGGAAGUUUGGAAAGCCCUGAGUAGCUGAGAUGGAGGAAGUGAGUGAAGGUAGUAGCAAAGAAAUGUGAAGUAUGUCUUGGGUCAUUGCCGACAGUUGCAGUCACAGCCAGUGAAAAUCGAAGAACAUACAAGCAUACAAGUUAAGCAGGCGAGCGAGAGUUACAGCGAGAGUUAUAUACCUAGUUGCCUCGACCCAGAGUUGCACCAGAAUCUUUUUGAAAACUGAACAGCUAAUGAAUUUCCAUCUUCAUGGUCAUAUCUCUCCAUGCCAAAUAAUAUGCUAUUAAAUUAAGUUUAGCCUUAAGCUACCUCCUUACAUAUUUUAAGUUUGGCCUAAAGAUUUCUCAGUACUUAGUGAAUUGUAGCCUAACUGGAUGUGUAAACAGAUUGUAACCUACUUUUGUACCAGUCAUUGAGAUUUAGCCAAACAAAGGCAGCCAACUGUUCAACCCAGGUUCAAAUAAAAUAAACAUUCAGCUGUAACCAAU